GACGAACGCUGGCGGCGUGCUUAACACAUGCAAGUCGAACGAAGAGCGAUGGAAGCUUGCUUCUAUCAAUCUUAGUGGCGAACGGGUGAGUAACGCGUAAUCAACCUGCCCUUCAGAGGGGGACAACAGUUGGAAACGACUGCUAAUACCGCAUACGAUCUAACCUCGGCAUCGAGGAUAGAUGAAAGGUGGCCUCUAUUUAUAAGCUAUCACUGAAGGAGGGGAUUGCGUCUGAUUAGCUAGUUGGAGGGGUAACGGCCCACCAAGGCGAUGAUCAGUAGCCGGUCUGAGAGGAUGAACGGCCACAUUGGGACUGAGACACGGCCCAGACUCCUACGGGAGGCAGCAGUGGGGAAUCUUCCGCAAUGGACGAAAGUCUGACGGAGCAACGCCGCGUGAGUGAUGACGGCCUUCGGGUUGUAAAGCUCUGUUAAUCGGG
rnacentral:rRNA from 1 species